GCCGGGAUGGCGGAAUUGGAAGACGCGCACGCUUCAGGAGCGUGUGGGCUUCGCCCGUGUGGGUUCAAAUCCCUCUCCCGGCA
rnacentral:tRNA from 1 species